ACAUUUGAUCAUGGCUCAGAUUGAACGCUGGCGGCAGGCCUAACACAUGCAAGUCGAGCGGUAGAGAGAAGCUUGCUUCUCUUGAGAGCGGCGGACGGGUGAGUAAUGCCUAGGAAUCUGCCUGGUAGUGGGGGAUAACGCUCGGAAACGGGCGCUAAUACCCGCAUACGUCCUACGGGAGAAAGCAGGGGACCUUCGGGCCUUGCGCUAUCAGAUGAGCCUAGGUCGGAUUAGCUAGUUGGUGAGGUAAUGGCUCACCAAGGCGACGAUCCGUAACUGGUCUGAGAGGAUGAUCAGUCACACUGGAACUGAGACACGGUCCAGACUCCUACGGGAGGCAGCAGUGGGGAAUAUUGGACAAUGGGCGAAAGCCUGAUCCAGCCAUGCCGCGUGUGUGAAGAAGGUCUUCGGAUUGUAAAGCACUUUAAGUUGGGAGGAAGGGCAUUAACCUAAUACGUUGGUGUCUUGACGUUACCGACAGAAUAAGCACCGGCUAACUCUGUGCCAGCAGCCGCGGUAAUACAGAGGGUGCAAGCGUUAAUCGGAAUUACUGGGCGUAAAGCGCGCGUAGGUGGUUCGUUAAGUUGGAUGUGAAAUCCCCGGGCUCAACCUGGGAACUGCAUUCAAAACUGACGAGCUAGAGUAUGGUAGAGGGUGGUGGAAAUUUCCUGUGUAGCGGUGAAAUGCGUAGAUAUAGGAAGGAACACCAGUGGCGAAGGCGACCACCUGGAACUGAUACUGACACUGAGGUGCGAAAGCGUGGGGAGUAAACAGGAUUAGAUACCCUGGUAGUCCACGCCGUAAACGAUGUCAACUAGCCGUUGGGAGCCUUGAGCUCUUAGUGGCGCAGCUAACGCAUUAAGUUGACCGCCUGGGGAGUACGGCCGCAAGGUUAAAACUCAAAUGGAAUUGAGGGG
rnacentral:rRNA from 1 species